CUGGCGGCACGCCUUAUACAUGCAAGUCGAACGAAGUAGCAAUACUUAGUGGCAGACGGGUGAGUAACAUGUAGGUAUCUACCCUUUGGUGAGGAAUAACACGAGGAAACUUGUGCUAAUACCUCAUAAGUCUUUACGGAGAAAGCUUUAUGCGCCGAAGGAUGAGCCUGCACUUGAUUAGUUUGUUGGUGGGGUAAUGGCCUACCAAGACUUUGAUCUAUAGCUGAUCUGAGAGGAUGAUCAGCCACAUUGGGACUGAGACACGGCCCAAACUCCUACGGGAGGCAGCAGUAGGGAAUAUUGCACAAUGGAGGAAACUCUGAUGCAGCGAUGCCGCGUGAGUGAAGAAGGCCUUUGGGUUGUAAAGCUCUUUCGUCGGGGAAGAAAAUGACUGUACCCGAAUAAGAAGGUCCGGCUAACUUCGUGCCAGCAGCCGCGGUAAUACGAAGGGACCUAGCGUAGUUCGGAAUUACUGGGCUUAAAGAGUUCGUAGGUGGUUAAAAAAGUUGGUGGUGAAAUCCCAGAGCUUAACUCUGGAACUGCCAUCAAAACUUUUUAGCUAGAGUAUGAUAGAGGAAAGCAGAAUUUCUAGUGUAGAGGUGAAAUUCGUAGAUAUUAGAAAGAAUACCAAUUGCGAAGGCAGCUUUCUGGAUCAUUACUGACGCUGAGGAACGAAAGCAUGGGUAGCGAAGAGGAUUAGAUACCCUCGUAGUCCAUGCCGUAAACGAUGUGUGUUAGACGUUGGAAAUUUAUUUUCAGUGUCGCAGCGAAAGCAUUAAACACACCGCCUGGGGAGUAC
rnacentral:rRNA from 1 species